GUGGGGAAUCUUGCGCAAUGGGCGAAAGCCUGACGCAGCCAUGCCGCGUGAAUGAUGAAGGACUUAGGAUUGUAAAAUUCUUUCACCGGGGACGAUAAUGACGGUACCCGGAUAAGAAGCUCCGGCUAACUUCGUGCCAGCAGCCGCGGUAAUACGAAGGGGGCUAGCGUUGCUCGGAAUUACUGGGCGUAAAGGGCGCGUAGGCGGACAGCUUAGUCAGAGGUGAAAGCCCAGGGCUCAACCUUGGAAUUGCCUUUGAUACUGGCUGUCUUGAGUUUGGGAGAGGUGAGUGGAACUCCGAUUGUAGAGGUGAAAUUCGUAGAUAUUCGGAAGAACACCAGUGGCGAAGGCGACUCACUGGCCCAAUACUGACGCUGAGGCGCGAAAGCGUGGGGAGCAAACAGGAUUAGAUACCCGGGUAGUCC
rnacentral:rRNA from 1 species